UACGUAGGGACCAAGCGUUGUUCGGAUUUACUGGGCGUAAAGGGCGCGUAGGCGGCUUAACAAGUCACUUGUGAAAUCUCCGGCUUAACUCGGAACGGCCAAGUGAAACUGUCAAGCUAGAGUGCAGAAGGGGCAAUCGGAAUUCUUGGUGUAGCGGUGAAAUGCGUAGAUAUCAAGAGGAACACCUGAGGUGAAGACGGGUUGCUGGGCUGACACUGACGCUGAGGCGCGAAAGCCAGGGGAGCAAACGGG
rnacentral:rRNA from 1 species